AUCAUAAUAAUAUGUUACAAUAGUUUUGGAAGUGAAAAAUCAGAUUAGAGAAAUGAAAGGGAGACGCAGAGAGGCGAUUUCAAGUUGGAGAUUCAGAAACAUUCCAUUCAUCUCGAUUUGAUUUGAAAUAAGCCCAAAAAACCUAAAGAUUAUCAUCAACAGCGCUUGUUUUUGGAGAUCUACUUGAAACCAGUGAUGAAAAAUUGACGAGCAUAAUCAUGAACAAUUGAAUCUAAAGUUUUCGUCACACAAAAUGAUUAUGAAGAUAAGUUUCAUCUUCUCUUAUCACUUAUCUAUAUCUUGAACAUUCGAUUUGGAGUUAUUAGGUUUACCAUUUUCAAAAUAGAAUUUAGUUUAUUUUUUUUUAGGGUUUUUAUAUGACAGUACUAAAGAUUUCUUUUGAUUAACAUUUCUGAUUUGAAAUUAUAAACCUUUUUUUUAGAAUAAUUAUGAGAGAUACGAUUCUAUAUGAGAUUCAUAAAGAGAGAGACAAUUUAUUCUAUGAAAUUCACAGAUCUAACUUUUGUUUCAUUUUGAUCUAUCAAUAAUAACUCUUAAAAAUCUCUGCUAAUUUCAUUGCUUCUAGAGUACUAAUCGUAUGAAUCUGCACAUUUUGUUAGUAGGAUAUCCCAGGAGUAGAAAGCAUGUUUGAUUUGAUUUAGAAUACUAAUCAUAUCAAUAUGCACUUGUUGUUAGUAGGCUAUCCCCGAGUGGAAAGCAUUAUUUGAUUACUCGAUAAGGUCGGGGUCUUGCUUGUUAUCAUCAUCUGAGAAAUGCUUAAACAUUGGGGUUAACUUGUAUAAGAAACUAAUUACUAGAGGAAUAUAUAUGCAUGUUGUUUAGGCUGCCGUAAUAAAUCCUCACCUAAUGCAAGUGGUCUGGGCAUUCAAGUUAUUAUUAUGUAGUAUUACCGCCAAGAGGAAGGCAUCAUUAAUAGAGAGCAAGAACGUUGGCAUUGAUGAAUAUAAAAUACUUAGUUAAGUCGGAUGUUUGGUUUGGACUGCUAGUGUUUAACAAAAAUGAAACUAGUUGAUAGGACCUUCUUUUGUCAAUAGUAAAUAUAACGUGCUUAAGUAAAUCAUAUAAUUUCUUUAACCUUCUAAUGUUUAACAAAAACGCAAUUAGCUGAUACAACAUUCUUUUCAUGUUUCCGUAACAGGUGAAAUGCUUGCCUUUUAAUCCGUUCAAUGAGUAGGUUGUGGCUGCAGGUUCAACUAAUAAAAUUCUUAAUCUAUCUGACCUUCAUAAGAUAAAUAUCAUUAUCUAGACUUUCAAUUACAACAAGUAAUCAUUCUCAACUUAUGUUAUGUAGUUUUCGUAUGUACAAUGAAAAACUACAUUUUGUAGAACAAAGCUCUUUCGGAAAUGUUUUGUUUUCUAUGUAUGCCUAUUGCUCAGAUCAUGUUUUUUCAUCUGGUAACUCUGGUACAUCUAGUAAAGGCGUAUAGUUAUUUCCUAGAGUGUCGAGAUUCACCGGUAGUAUAUAAGCUAUUUUGAAUGGUCGGCGUGAAAAAUCUAUUUUAUGCUUGCUGCUAUUUUUCCUGUUACCCUUUUUUCAUCUAAUUUAUUCGUCUUAUGUUUUCUUUCAUCCUAUCUUGGCUUGUCAUGAUUUUUUACAUUUUCUUUAAUAGGUGACAAUAUCAGCAAUAACAAAACGAGUUACAUAUUACAAUAGUAAAGUUGGCAAGGUGAAUUCUUCACAUGUAGCGUCUCUAACCAUUUAUUGGAUUCCUUGUAAAAUUUGUGAAGAUAAUCUGGUAGAAUUCUUAUGCGCGUUGCUUUUAUUGUCCCGGUUGUACGAGGUGUAAUUUUUACUACACCAGUUGUACGCAGUGUACUUUUUAGUACACCUGUUUUCGAAACAACUAAACUUUUUUUAACAGUCUUAGUUGUAGCCUUUUUUGCUUGAGGUUUGUUAUUGAAACCGUAAUGGGUUAAUUAAGUUUUCACCAGAGUGGCCUUUUGUUAUUGAAUUCUUAAUGUGUAUGUAAUUGUACACAUGCUGAUUCCUAAUGUAUACAUAGUUGUACACCUUUUGAUCGUUAAUAUGCACAUAGUUGUACACCUUUUGAUCGUUAAUAUGUACAUAGUUGUACACCUUUUAAUCCUAGGUAGCUCUCCUGGACUUAGCUUAUGGAAUUUUGAUCAACUUACUGUUUAUAUAAAUUUUUGAUUGGUGAUAACAGGUUAACACGCACUAUAUGCAAUGGAUCUAGCAAGGUCAUAGGCAGGGCUUGCGAGGAAGAUCAGGUGUGUAUGCUUGUACACCUUGCUCUUGCUCUUAGAGCUUCGAUGGAGGAAAAGAGGGAAAGACAGGACGCUGCUGCAAGGGCUGCAAAAGAAAAAGGAGGUGGACAGGCGUCAAGUUCACAUGAUACAACUAUGACUGAAAAUGCUAGCAUUAUGUAUGAUGGGCUAAUACAGGCUAUUUGAUUGUAGGUCUCAUGCUUUUGAUAUUUGUAUAAUUUGAUUUUCUUACUGUGAAUGUGAAUUACAUGAUAUUCAAAAAUGAGGAUAUUAUAUCCUUGAGGUCCACAUCUAACCAUUUAUUUCUUGUGAAA